UACGUAGGGUGCAAGCGUUUGUCCGGAAUUAUUUGGGCGUAAAGAGCUCGUAGGCGGUCUGUCGCGUCUGCUGUGAAAACUCGGGGCUUAACCCCGGGCCUGCAGUGGGUACGGGCAGACUAGAGUGCGGUAGGGGAGACUGGAAUUCCCGGUGUAGCGGUGAAAUGCGCAGAUAUCGGGAGGAACACCGGUGGCGAAGGCGGUCUCUGGGUCCUUACCUGACGCUG
rnacentral:rRNA from 1 species